UACGUAGGGUGCGAGCGUUGUCCGGAUUUAUUGGGCGUAAAGAGCUCGUAGGCGGUUUGUCGCGUCGGCCGUGAAAUCUCCACGCUUAACGUGGAGCGUGCGGUCGAUACGGGCAGACUUGAGUUCGGUAGGGGAGACUGGAAUUCCUGGUGUAGCGGUGAAAUGCGCAGAUAUCAGGAGGAACACCGGUGGCGAAGGUGGGUCUCUGGGCCGAUACUGACGCUGAGGAGCGAAAGCGUGGGGAGCGAACAGG
rnacentral:rRNA from 1 species